GAUUGCCCUGGCAGUGGUCAAGCUGUUCUUCUGCAGCGCCUGGCUGGCCAGCGAGUGGGUCGACCCGGUGUUCGAGACGCCGGGCAGUUAC
rnacentral:tRNA from 1 species